UAAAAUGAUCUUCGAAGAUUGAUUUGAGAAUCGAAUUACAGGUACACAUUGAUUUUUAUGACCCAAAACAUGAACCAUAUCCUCCUUUGUUGGGCUAGCCUGAAAUUCCUCGAAGACAUUGGGCUCUUUCUGAUAGCGUUUGAUAGGCUGAAAUGUGAAUUUACUAUGAAUCACGCCGAAGAGCUUAACACCCACGGCGGUUGCAAUAAAUAAUAAAGUAGUGAAGACUAAUAUAGUAAUAUUGUUUUUAAAGAAUAAAGGUGAACAAUUCUAACACUAAAAACAAAAUAUGCAUAAUUCUAAUAGAAAUUACAAAAGGAGAUUUGGAUUUAAAUUUGUAUAGAGAUAAAUAUUAAAAACCAAAUAAAUAAUAAAGUUUGAUUUUACAAAUUUAUUUUAAUGUUAAAAAUAUAAGAACACAAAAGGAUAAAUUUGAAUUCAAAUGAGAAAAGUAUUAGAGUAUAUUUCAUUAAAAUUUGUAUAUAUAUGUUAUAAUUAAAAUUUGUAAAAAGUAAAUAUUUUUUACAUCUAUGAUAAAUAAAUUAUAUUGUGAUACAAUGUUAUUUUUAAUUAUUGACAAUUUUUAAAAAAUAUUAAAAUUCAAGUUAAAACUAAAGUUAAUAAAAAUGAUAGAUUGAAAAAACAAGAUGUUAAAAAAAAACCCUCAAAAUAUUCCUAUUUGAGAAAAAUAGUUAAACUCAUGUUCGUUGAAGAAUGACUGAUAUCCAAUUUAAAUUUCAAAGGUAAUAUACUAAGAGUUAUAAAGAAAGAAAAAUAUUGCUAAAAAAAAUUUAUAGUUAAAUAAAUUAAAGUAUAAUACACAUUAUUUUUAAUAAAUGGUGUAGUAUUUUAAAAUUAAAAAAUAUAAUUUAAAUAUUUUUUAGGAGAGGAGAAUCAGGAAUAUUUUAGAGGUCCAUUGAUUGCAUAUAAUUUUAAUUUAUUCAUUUCCAUUCAUUGUCUCGUGUUUUCAUCACACACACACACACCGCACAAAUCCCAGUAAAUUUAUCGUUUGCAUUUUAUUAUUCCCUUGAUUUCUCAUAUGGCUGGCUUUUGAAGAGAAUCAUAUGAUAUUGAUAGCUCAUCCAUGACUAUACGUAUGAUUGUAUUACAGAUUGAGAUUUAUUACAUUCUGGGGUCAAUUGUGUGUCUCGAAUUCCAAUUCGAAUAAUAAGGAAUCCUCGUCAUUGUUGAACAUGGUCUCGGGAUCAAAACUUUAUGAACCCACUCUCAACAACCAUAUCUAUAACGGAAACUAAUUUUCUGUUGUCUUCAAUCUUCACAUAGAUUUAGCGUAUUUAACUGUUUUUAAAUAAAUAAAUAAUGCGUAAAUUGAAAAUGGUAAAAUUUUAUCCAAAAUCAAUUUAAAUAUUAUCAAAAGUGUAGGAUAUUUUAAUUAAAGAUAAUAACAAAUGCACCUAUGUUGUUCUUUUACGUUAUCGUAUAUAGGGAGCAAAGGAGAAGUAAAAUUCAAGUUGAAGAAUGAUUUGAUUCAGGCAUGUCUCACACGGUCUCUCUCACGUUACUAUAGCAUUCACAUGGAGUGUUGUGUGACAUUGCUGUAUCAUGUGUGCACUUUUGUUUGUUUUGAAGUUAACAAGAAGCAUCAAAAUUCAACACAUCACGCGAAAGAAUGAUACCUGAAACACAUUGGAGAAGGAUUCCUCAACAACCACAUGGAGGAAUGUAUAAGACAUGCAACCCGGCCCAGCUGGUUGGAUGGUCUUCACAGAAACAUACAGCGUUAGACAAUUUUAAAUGUUAACUUUAGGAUAGUGUCUUUUGGGUAAUAAAUUAACUUUAGGGGUAGUUUGGUAAUAUGUGUAUAUUUUUAACUAUUAAAUUAAAAUGAAAGGUUUAUGAUAAAAUAUUAAGAAUUCAAAUAAAUAAAAAGCAUCAUAUAACCAUUAAAUUUAUAAAAGAUUUAUCAAAUAAAAAUAAUUUUAAAAAAAAUAAUUAUUAUUACAUUGUAAAAUAUUUCAAUUAGAAGUCAUUAUUUUUUAAGAUUGUCAUUAACUAAUCACCAAUACCACCAUGAUUGUCGAUGCAUUCAUUAUUAGAAUUGUUAUUGUUAUUACUAUGACCUAUAAUUGUGAUGUUGAUGACAACAACAAUUAUGGUGUUAACAUAUCAUUAUCACCAUGUCACCAUAAUCGUUAUUGUUAUCGUCAUUAUCAUCAUUGUCGAUGAAUGUUGGUGGCACCAUGGUCACAAAGAUAGUGAUAAUGAUGAUCAUGACUAUCAUAAUGAUGAGUCAAUAAUAUUAAAAAAAUGAUAUAAUAAUUGAAAUAUUUUAAGACUUAAUAGAUGAGAUAUUUUAGAUUUUUUUGUGAAUCUUUUAAACAAGGUUAUAAAUUGAAUUCUUAUGUAUUUUAGUAUUUUAUUUUUAUUUUAAUCUAACAGUUGAGAUUAUUUAUUCUAAUUCAAACCUCAAAAAGUCAUUCUCAUAUAUUUAAAUAAAUUUAGUUCAAAGGUUGUCUAAUUAAUUUAUCCCAAGUAAAAUUGGGAUUAAACAAUUAUUUAAUCUUAUUUUUUACUUGGGGUAAGUUAGACAAUUCCUUCAAACUCAAGAUCUAUUAUUAAGUUAGAAUAAUUCUAUACUAAUUGAUCCACUCACUAUGGAUGCAAGUUAUAGUGUAUAGGGGCAAUUUUCCCCCCAAAAAUAUUUGUUUUGCUUAAAUAUAUAUUUUUUAUCUUUGUAAGUUUGCACUUUUUUUUAAUUCUAGUUUUUUUAAGUUUAUGUUUUUUCAAUUUUAGUCAUUUUAAGAUUCUGGCUUUUUCAUUUUUAGUUCAUGCUUCCAGAGACAAAAUUGAAAAAAAAAUACAAACUUAGAAGGACCAAAAUUGACAAAUAACAAACUUAUAAACUAAAAAUGAAUAAAAUAAAUUAUAGUGAUAAAAAUUUAAUAAAUGUAAACAUAUAUGGACUAAAAAAACUUACAAGAAUCAAAAUUAAAAAAGUACAAAUUUAUUAUGACCAAAAAUAUAUUUAAACCAACUUGAUGAAGUUUCCAUUUUGAUCUUUAUAGUUUCUUAUGUUAUGAUUAUAUUUGACAAAUCAUUUCAGUUUAGUUUUCUUUUUCAGCUAUUUUUUAGUUUUCUUUUUUCUCUAGUUAAAAACUUAUUUGAUAAACAAGUUUUUUUUAAUAAUUUCUAAUAUUUUUGAAACAUUAUUUGAAGUAUUUUUUUUUUUUAUCUAGACCACAUCUAUCAUCAUCAAGGGACAAUUUUAUUCUAGCCUAAGAUAAUGGUAGAUGACAAAGUUUUUUUGAUGUCAUUGCAUACUCAAGACUUAAAUCUAAAACUUAUAGUUAAAUAAGAAUAAUCUCACGUUAAUUUAUCAAUACACUUAAUGAUUUUUAUUGUUUUUUAAAAGUUAACUUAUAGAUUUUUAUAUUUUAUUAUCUUCUUAUAUUUAAAAUUAAAUUAUCUUAAUAUCCUUUUUAAUUAAAACGUGCUUUUAUUUUUUUCUCAUUCACAUUAUAUUUGAUGAAAUUGACAAUACUAAAUAUUAAAUUUAUUUUAUUUUAUAUUUUUUCAUAUUAUUUUAUUAGACGAUUUAUUUUAAUUAUCACCCUAAAUAACAAAAUAAAUGUAGUAAAAUACAUAAUAUGAAGAAGAAAAAAAUUUGAACAACUGAGAAAAUGUUCUUUGUCUUUCUUACUUAUAUUUAUUCAACUAGCUCAUUUUUAUUAAUGUGAAACUCCACUUUCAUCUUUGUGUUUAUCUCAAGUGAAGAUCUUUAUUCAUUUGAAGAGUAAUCAAUAAUCAAUAAUAAUCCUUAGAAUUUAAACGUCUAAAUUAUCGAAAAGAAUUAAAAAUACAAACAAUUUUUUUACUAAUUAUGACUGGUUAAUUUUUUUAGAGAUUAAAACCAUAAAUUAACAUAAAAAUCUAAUUAUUUUUUACAGAAUGUUGUCCAAAUGAGGCUUUCUCAUGCACUUUUAUUGGAAAGCUGCUCUGUACUUUGCAGCGAGUUAAAAUGCAAAACAGAUAAACGAUUACGACACUGGCCAAUGUGAUAAGAAAUCUUGUGUUUACCGAAGUGACUAGCCAAACUAACAAAUUGUUUGAACAACAGAGACAAUGUUUGUUGGUUUUGCCAAAACCAUGGGCGGACUAACAAUAACUCAUUCUUCUUCUAAAAUAAUAAUAAUAAUAUCUCAUUAUCGUGAUCUCAAGUUUUACGUAACUCUACUUUAUCUGUUAGGAUUAAAUAUAUCUGUAUAAGAAAAUAUUUGCUUUUAUUUUUUUCCAUUUUCUCAUUUUUUUUAAAUAUGUAUUGCAUAAUCUUUACUUUCAUAAAAAUUGUCUUUAUUUUUAUUUUUAAUUAUUAAAAAUAAAACCACACAUGACCAAAAUACAAACUAUAAGAGAAGAUAAUUUGUUUAUAACUAAAAAUAAACAUUUUCUUAUUUAUAAACAUUACAAACAUAAUAUAUAUAUAUAUAUAUAUAUAUAUAUAUAUAUAUAUAUAUAUAUAUAUAUAUAAUUAAAACGAAAAUAGGUGAAUACCAUUCUAUGACAACAUAUGGUGUUGUCUCCUCCUCUGCUCAUGGUUGCUACCUAGCUGGAUCCUUCCUCCUCGUGGCUUCGAUGUUAUAUGCCUUCCUCGUCUCUCUGUUUGGUUCUUAUCACAAAUUAAUGAUGUUCGAGUUUCUGAUAGUAGUGUUAGAAAAAUAUAUUAAAUAAUAUGAUAACGUAACUCAAGGUGAAUUUAGGGCCUAAAAUUGAUUUAAUAAAAUAAAGGAAUUUAUUGAUAAAUUCCUAAACUUAUGAAAAGUUAACAAACUUUUAAUAAUUAAUUUGAUGAGAGUUUGUUAAUAAAAGGUAAAGGGUUCUAUCUCAAUUUUUCUUCUAAUUACCCAUCAAAGAAAGAGAUGGAUUAAGAUAAAAGAAAUUGAAGAACUUAUGUCUUUCAUGGAUCAAAAUAAAUUUUAUUUAUUUCAAACUUUACUAGGGAAUCAUAAAUUUUAAAAUUCUUAUAUGAAAUAUAUAAUUAACAAGUAGUUGUUAUACUAUUAUCAACUUAUUAACGCUAUGUUCAUUAAUCUACUAAAAAAAUAUACAUCUCAUUGAAAGAAGCAUUUAUAUUUAAUAUUGUCCGAUUGCGUUUUAAACAAAAUUGUUUCCAAAGAAAAUAUAACCUGAAAAAUAAAGAUUUUCACGCUCCAUUGAGUUUGAGAAAGAAAGAAAAAACAAACAUAAGGGUGGAAAAUACUGGAUUUAGGGACUAAUUAAAUUCCUGGAUUAAUUUUUCAUAAGAGUAGUUAGAUUUAUUAAUGACUCAAUUAAAAACUAAAUACAAUUUCAACAAAUUUCUAUUAAAAAAUAGUUCAAAAAUCUAAUUAAAAAUUGUCAAAUAACUUAAAGACCUAAAUAUUAAUUUAAGCUUCGUUUAAUAUAAAAGAAAAUAAAGUAUUAAGAACAAACAGAAAAAAAAAUAAUGUUGUUUUCUUGACAUUUUGUAUAAAUAAUAACUACUUUUUUUACACAAUAAUAAUAACAACUACUUAAAGACUGAAUAUCAAGCUAAUUUAAUGAAUUUGCAUGAUCAAACUUUACGUUAUAAACAAAUCAUAUACUACUUAUUAUAUGAAUAAAAUUGUUUUUUUGUCAAGACAUGAAUAAAAUUGGUAUACACGCACGCAAUAAGUUCUGCCCGGAAGGAAAUAAUGAUGAUAAUUGACAAUAACAUACAUUGAGUGGUGUUGUUAAGGUUGAUGACGUACGUGCAACGUGAACAUUAGCUCCAUAGCCUCCAUUCAUCUGAAUCUUCUGACGAUACGAAGAAGCAACAGUUGCAGCAAAUGAUGGUUUUCUGCAGAAAGAAACAUAUGCAUGAGAAAGACGGGUCAAGUCAUUCUAUUCAGGGCGCUUGCUUUAUUUUGUCGGUGCGAGAAGGUUUUAUAUAUUACUGGCUUAUUUUCUAAUAUUAAUUCA
rnacentral:lncRNA from 1 species